ensembl:rRNA 5S_rRNA 5S ribosomal RNA
AGCCACAGCCAUAUCACCCUGUAGCCCAAGACUGGUUGCCCACUGAAGCUAAACAGGGUUGAGUCUGAUCAGUAUCUGGAUGGGAGACCUCCUGGGAAAAAUAGGUUGCUGUUGGAA